rnacentral:rRNA from 1 species
UUUGUGGUUCUACCUGCCCAGUGUUUUUAUAAAUUAAAUGGCCGCGGUACUUUGACCGUGCUAAGGUAGCGUAAUCAGUUGGCUUUUAAAUGGAGUCAGGAAUGAAUGGAAUAACCGGGUUCUGCUGUCUCUAAGUUAUUAGGUUGAAUUUACUGUUUAAGUGAAAAAGCUUAAAGUUAAUAAAGGGACGAGAAGACCCUUAGAAUUUUUUUAAAAGUAAGAGUAAACACUUUUCUUAUAAUAAUUUUGUUGGGGUGACGGAGAAAUAGCUUAUAAACUUUCUUUUUAAAUACAGGCCGGGUAUUUCAUGUAAGGAUAAAUUACCUGAGGGAUAACAGCAUAAUUUUAUAAAUGAGUUUGUGACCUCGAUGUUGGACUAGGAAACUGGCAGGUUAGCCACUUGCAGUGUGGGUUCUGUUCGAACUUUAAUUCCU